ensembl:lncRNA
CAGUGUGUUCUUUCUGAUUAGCUCUUAAUUGAGAUCACCUGUCACGCACCCCUUUAUUAAAGGUGAACACAAUGGGUUUGGUUUACUUUUCGCAUCGGCCUGUGUCAAUCGAGGUUGAGUUUAGUGAGGGUUGAAAGUUUUCGAUCUAGAUUGCAGAUCACUAUUUUCACUUUAUACAAACUGAAAGUAUGCGUUGUUGUGUGUUUGUUUUUGUUUUUGUGGGCAUUUGACUGAACAGCCCAGCCAAAUAUUGCUACCAACAUGGCACUUCGAAACAGACCACCGCAGUGUUGGAUGACUGACAAGAUCUAUGGGGGGGCCCCCUUUGGGCCCCCCCAUAGCAACUUAGUCUUCAAAGGAAUCUAGUGCCAUGGGACUCCAGUGUCUUCAAAACAUCCUCGAAAUACAUGUGUAUGAAUGGUCCACCGAAGGGUUGAUCUGGAAGCCACCACGGUCCCCGCAGUAAUCUGCUGCGUGGGCCGUAGUGGCUUCCAGAGCCAUCUUUCGGUUUUGGUGAGGAUUUGUUACAGUUGCCCUUCAAUGUAGCAGGCUACGGCUUUCUGAAGAAGCCUGCUUUACGUAGCAUUGGAGUACAAAUAUUGUGCAAAAUGCUCAUGUAAUUGCACUAGCACUGGUAACUUGUAGAUUAGCUUAGUUUAACGUCAUUCGGUGCUGUCUGUCAAAUGUGUGGGUAAACCACGUUGGAACACCCCUGGACAAGGUGAUUAGUCACUGGUGAUUAGACACGAAGUCCACUGUGUGCUAAAGUUUUGUUCCAUUUUUCACUAGUUGGUUAAGGUUUGGUAGAAUUGUUUGGAUGCUAGCGACGUGAUGGCGUAUGUACAAGAGCCUACCGUGGCCAGGCCACAGUUGCGACGGCCACGGCCAGAUGGCCUAGUGUGAGUGCAACCUUGAUUGCAUUUGUAUACUGUUUACCAUUGGAUGUUUAUGCAAUUUGGCUUAAUUCAUCCGCUGUAAAGCUGCAUUUGACUAUUCCAGGGUCGUUUUGUACAGGCUUUCAAUUGACCAUAUUGACUAGUUGGUUGGAAGUUUUUUCUUUUUUUUACCCUUGCUUACAAUCCAACGGUUGCGACCACUUAUGCAACUGGGCUGUGAACCUUGCAAUUCUAGUUGCAUAUUUGUACACACAAGCUUGUCCAUUUCUAUCGCCAUCACUAACACUAGCUUCAGCAUUUCCUUGUAGGCCAUUAGCUGACUUGUGUAUUGGAGCAAUGAUUUGGGUAUUUUAAGAUGCUUGAAAACCUAAAAUAAAGCAAAAUGCGUGUCUGAUGUGCAAGAGCCAAUUUGUUGGCUUGCAGUAGUCGAGGAGUUGCCGUAGGUCGUAAGCCAUCUGGAGGUUGUGGCAAUGGAGGCUUGUGGUAGAUCUGCCAUCCAAGAAAGGUUGCUUCUUCUGAAGCAUGAUUAAUAGUUUAGUAAAUUUAAUCUAUUCAUAUAGAACUAUAAAAUCCAAGACUGCAGCCAGUAACUUGGAUCGCAAUAUGUGGAAAGUAUCAGUCUUCAUUUGUAACAACAGAAUAAUUAACAUGACUAACUGGGUUUCUUCCAUUUUCUAACUAGGGGGACUUGACUGGUGAGUCUACUGGAUUAAUCAGUAGCGGUACUUUGCCCAAAAGAUUUGAUGGCAUGACUACAGGGUAACAAAGACAAUUAUUCCCUGCCUAUCAAAAGAGACUUCUAAAACAUAUCUGCUAGAACAGUUCCUAUACUUUUUGUAUAAUUUGGUCAUGCUGCAAAUUUACUUUUUGUAGUUGCUCCAUGUUUAGUUCUUGGACAGCCUCACCUGCUAGAAAAGUCUAUUCAAAUCGGCUAAAUAUAAUGAACUAAAUUAAUAGCCAUGAAAUGUUGUCACUCAUACUAAUGGCAAAUACCCCUUUCAGUUGGUGGUUCAACACUGAUGUCUCUCUAGGCUUGAGGAGAGCUCACAAGUAAAUUACACGAAUGUCCUGGAGCAAUUGGGAAUACACUUUUAUUUAGUCUACCUGACCAGGGACAUCUUUGAACUAUAGGUCACCUAAGCCUAACUUUUCACUCUUGUUAUGUUGUCCUUUUCUCUUGUUUUAACCCGAAAGGGCUGAAAAUAUCAACAUUUCAGGUAUUCUGUUUGGAUAAUGUGCAAAACUUGUGG